rnacentral:rRNA from 1 species
AUUGAACGCUGGCGGCAUGCUUUACACAUGCAAGUCGAACGGCAGCACGGGUGCUUGCACCUGGUGGCGAGUGGCGAACGGGUGAGUAAUGCAUCGGAACGUACCUAUCAGUGGGGGAUAACACAUCGAAAGAUGUGCUAAUACCGCAUAUUAUCCGAGGAUGAAAGCGGGGGACCUUAGGGCCUCGCGCUGAUAGAGCGGCCGAUGUCGGAUUAGCUAGUUGGUGAGGUAAAGGCUCACCAAGGCGACGAUCCGUAGCGGGUCUGAGAGGAUGAUCCGCCACACUGGGACUGAGACACGGCCCAGACCUCCGUACGGGAGCGA